UGCCGGCAGAGUGAUAGUGAUGGUUUUAAAUAAUGCCCCUAAUUAAUAACAAUAGAAGAGUUAACGACAUUAUUAGAGAUGGUUUUCUAUUUCGUAGGAAGAUAACAGGGGUUUAAACCGUCUCUACCUAUAUGAAAGGUUAAAAUGGGAAUUUUCAAAAAAUUUCUCAGCUAUACAGAUGCGAUACUUUCACUGUAAUCGUUUUUCUCAUUCUCUCAGCUAUUUCUUAAAUUUUCUUUCACUUCAAUCCAUUUUUUUAUUCAUUCUCAACCAUUCAAAUACAUCGAUUCAGAGAAUGUGAACGUUUAAAUUGAGCUUUUUUCUCUUCUCUAUUCAACAAUCGAUUUUUUCAUGAUUCAGUGAUCCAUUUUUUCAUCGAUUCAGCGAUCCAUUUUUCAUCGAUUCCGCAUUGAUAUAGAGAUAUUGUUCACGGAAUCUAUUUCAAUUUUUAUUUUGAGCCAUCUUUGGGCAUAUUAUGUUCAAUAGUUGUUAGGUUUUGUGCGAGUUUCAAUUUUUCUGCUCCAGCAACGGGUUUGUCAUUAUUAAUAAGUGUUUGCCAGCAAUCUUCUAUUUCACUGCUGCGUGGCAAGUUCAUAUCCCCAAUUCUUAAAGAGGAAAGUAACAAGUACCCUGACGUUACGGCAUAUAAGAUCGAUAUCGACCAGGUGAAGAACUGUUGUGGUUCAUUCUGAUUUUAGACUACUAACUUGUGCUUCUCAUCAGUGAAUCUAGAGACGGAGUUUCAUUGUUUUGGGUUUAAACAAUGGUUCGAAAGUCUAGGCUUUUAAGUGGACUAAAGAUGACAACGGCCAAUUCUUCAUCUGAAAAUCAAUCAGAACAAUCUAACGCAUCACACACUCGAGUACAACCUCGACAGGCUUUCCAAAGUCACAGUAGGACAGCAACCACAUCAUCUCUUUCUCAAAUUCCACUUGAACAAGCUGCCAGAACGCCUCAGCCUCAAAGAAAUCAAGAUCCUCCACCAAUUAUAGAGGAUGAAUUCACUGAAAUUAUUGAUAAUGUUGGAAGACGAUAUAGAAAGAGAGGAAGGACUACAAUGGUGUCAGUGUGGAACCUGUCUGGUGAUGAAAAGAUAUUUGUAGAGGUUGAUAAAUACGGAGUGCCUUGUACACAAGAAGCAGCAGUACUUGGAUCUUUUCUUGGAACAAUUGCAACAAAUGGGACUCUUGCACCUAUAAAUUUUUCUAGAUGGGAUGACAAAUAUUUGAAACCGUUUUAUCGCAAAAUGUUAGCUGUUGUUGAGUUUAGUGAUCGGGGUAGUGGUGGGAAUGUGCAACAUGAUGUUUCAUCUCGUUCAAGUCAAGGUUGAUGUUUAUGGAGCCUCUAUUGGUAAGAGACCAAGUGUUGGAUGCAGGGAGAUGAAUAUAGGUAUUGCGGAUUCGGGAUUGAAUGAGAUUGUUUGAACAAUCGGAUCAGCUUAAAGAUUUUGAGAAGGCAAAGGGCCAAAAGAUGGUAGAAAAUGAAGAAAUGUUUAGCUUAAAUGUGUAAAUCUUGAUAUUUUUAGUUUUGAUAUUUUUGAAACAAUACAUUCUAAUACUAGCUAGUCUCCUACUUAGUUCAAUUGAUGAUGCUAAUUUGAAUGUUUUGGCCUACGACAGUAUAAAUACAAAUUUUUGUAUUUGCUUUGCUA